rnacentral:rRNA from 1 species
AUUGAACGCUGGCGGCAGGCCUAACACAUGCAAGUCGAACGAGUGGCGGACGGGUGAGUAAUGUCUGGGCAUCUACCCUAUGGAGGGGGAUCACUACGGGAAACUGUAGCUAAUACCGCGUACCAUCGGAUGUGCCCAAGUGGGAUUAGGUAGUGGGUGGGGUAACGGCUCACCUAGCCGACGAUCCCUAGCUGGUCUGAGAGGAUGACCAGCCACACUGGGACUGAGACACGGCCCAGACUCCUACGGGAGGCAGCAGUGGGGAAUAUUGCACAAUGGGCGCAAGCCUGACGCAGCCAUGCCGCGUGAAUGAAGAAGGCCUUCGGGUUGUAAAGUACUUUCAGUAGGGAGGCGUUACCCACAGAAGAAGCACCGGCUAACUCCGGGCCAGCAGCCGCGGUAAUAC